UACGUAGGGUGCGAGCGUUGUCCGGAAUUAUUGGGCGUAAAGAGCUUGUAGGCGGUUUGUCGCGUCUGCUGUGAAAUCUCAAGGCUCAACCUUGAGCUUGCAGUCGAUACGGGCAGGCUAGAGUUCGGUAGGGGAGACUGGAAUUCCUGGUGUAGCGGUGAAAUGCGCAGAUAUCAGGAGGAACACCGGUGGCGAAGGCGGGUCUCUGGGCCGAUACUGACGCUGAGGAGCGAAAGCGUGGGGAGCGAACAGG
rnacentral:rRNA from 1 species